rnacentral:lncRNA from 12 species
GAUUAAGAAGAGCUAGAGCAGAAGUUGGUGUCUGAAAAAGUUCCACAGCUAACGCCAUCCAAACCCCAGAGAAGCUCUGCAGUGGUAGCAGUGGGCCCACUGGACAACCAGUAACCUGGGGUUUUCUCUGAGAAUGAAUCCAACUGAGCCCCCAUCUGAGGGAAAUUUUUGGGUGAAGAAUGGCCUGCUGAGAGACUGUGGCAGACAGAAGGUAGAGACUCUACAGAUCAGCAUCCAGUCUGGGCACAUCUGCUGCAACCAGCUGAAAGUCCUAUGGCCAGACAGGACAUUUCAGAUACAUUAGCUUCAUUUCAAUCCAACCAGCAUUUUUCCAGUGUUUAUGCUGAAGGUCCACCCUAAUCUGGAGGUUACACUGGGCUCAGGGGAUGAUGAGGUGAGUACAGC